CAUCCUAGCAACCCGGAGAACACCACCCCAAAAACACAUCUAAGUACAUUCGCACUUCUCCCCGUUUCCAAAAUACCCCGUCGCUUCUUAGAUCCAAAAACUGAGUUAGCAAUAUGUCUGUGUGGUUUUUUUUUUUAAAGCACAAAACCAUGAGAUGCAGUUUUAUGGCAGCAGUAGAAUGCGAAUAACAAAACGUCAGCACCUUUGCAAUGCCUGCGUCUUUUCUCUUGGGAAGCUUCCUUAGACUCUUUCAAAAAAGAAGGGGGAAAGCAGGCGUUCCUCGAUUUGGAAAAAGUAAAGACCCCCGUGGCGUGGGGCAUGACGCGGGUGUGUGUAUUAUAGAACAGAUGAAUAAACCGCAAGGCAGCUUGUUCUACUACCUCCAACUCCCGAUAUUACUCGAGGACUUCCAAGGCUUCCACGGCCAGGCGCAGAUGCUCUUUCAAAUGUUUAAUCUCUCGUUCUGACCGUUGCUUGAUGUGAUUCAGCUCCAGAAUUCCUGCUAUUGGCAGCACUACCAGCCCUUGCCUGGUUUUGCCGAAGCAGCUCUUUCCCCUCCUGUUGACAACGCUGCAGCAUUUGUUCCUGUUCUUCUGCCUUCUGCACCAGGCCCCCGAUCUGCAGGCACU